rnacentral:rRNA from 1 species
GGGUCUAUCCAUUGGUCAGGCUUUACGGUCCAUACUGGUUCGAUGGGUUCCUACCUUCUGAAUAACCGGCAUGCCAUUCAGUUGGUGCGCCGGGGAAGCAGAGCUAUUACCUUGAAAAAAUUAGAGUGCUUAAAGCAGGCUAUUGCUUGAAUAGAUUAGCAUGGAAUAAUAAAAUAGGACGGCAUGGUUCUAUUUUGUUGGUUUCUAGGAUCACCGUA